AGUGAACGCUGGCGGUAGGCCUAACACAUGCAAGUCGAACGGCAGCACAGUAAGAGCUUGCUCUUACGGGUGGCGAGUGGCGGACGGGUGAGGAAUACAUCGGAAUCUACUUUUUCGUGGGGGAUAACGUAGGGAAACUUACGCUAAUACCGCAUACGACCUACGGGUGAAAGCAGGGGAUUUUCGGACCUUGCGCGAUUGAAUGAGCCGAUGUCGGAUUAGAUAGUUGGCGGGGUAAAGGCCCACCAAGGCGACGAUCCGUAGCUGGUGUGAGAGGAGGGUAGGACACCCUAGAACGGAGACACGGUCCAGACCACUACGGGAGGGAGCAGUGGGGAAUGUUGGACAAUGGGCGGAAGCCUAGUCCAGCCCUACCGCGUGGGUGAAAGAGGCCUUCGGGUUGUAAAGGCCUUUUGUUGGGAAAGAAAAGCAGCAGGUUAAUACCCCGCUGUUCUGACGGUACCCAAAGAAUAAGCACCGGCUGACUUCGUG
rnacentral:rRNA from 1 species